rnacentral:rRNA from 1 species
UACGUAGGGUCCGAGCGUUGUCCGGAAUUACUGGGCGUAAAGAGCUCGUAGGCGGUGUGUCGCGUCGGCCGUGAAAACCUGCAGCUUAACUGUGGGCGUGCGGUCGAUACGGGCAUCACUGGAGUUCGGCAGGGGAGACUGGAAUUCCUGGUGUAGCGGUGAAAUGCGCAGAUAUCAGGAGGAACACCGGUGGCGAAGGCGGGUCUCUGGGCCGAUACUGACGCUGAGGAGCGAAAGCGUGGGGAGCGAACAGG